AUACACGCCAACUGCUACGGCGUCCACCAUCUCUUCUCUCAACCUUUCUCCGCUCAGCUGUUUCACCUGAGAGCAUAAAGGCAGUCUACAGAGAAACCAUCAAAGCCGCUACGCUUCUCUUGCAUCCUACCUCCCAACAAUGGACAGCGACUUGUCUGCUGAGAUAGCGCGCAUCGAGGCAGAGUUGGCGCAAGAUGCAGAGUUGCGCCAGCAGCAGCAGCAGCAGCAGCAGCUGGCACCGCAGCUGUCGCAGCAGCCUCCUGCCUCCUUAUUUGGCUUUGGCCAGACAGCCCCGGCCCAGCCGCAACAGCAGCAGCAACAGCUGUUCCACACCCAGCCUCCACAACCACAGCAGCAACCAUCCAACCCCUUCAACGUCAAUGCCAGUCCCUUCAUGCCGACACCGCAGCAGCCUGAUUACUCGCAGCAACAGCAACAGCAGCAGCAGCCCAUAGGUAGCGCUGGGCAGGCCGCCGCGCAAGCCUGUGCACCAACGCCAAUCAUUCACAGCUUCUCCAAGGACACAGACAGCCGUUCGAUCUUCAUCGGCAACUUGCCAAGGGGGACCGACGGCACCCCGGCGACGACGCCGGAGGAGCUAGUGCAGUUCUUCGCUGACUGUGGCAACAUUCUCAACUGCACGGUGCUGAAGGACCGCGCGACAGGGGAGCCGAAGGGCACCGCCUACAUUGAAUUCGCCGACUACACGGCGAUGGGCAAGGCCAUCGAUACAAAGAACAACGCCAACUUCAAGGGCAGCACUAUAAUUGUAUGCGUGAGUACGUCCCCUAUCUUUUACUUGCAGGUUUCUUCGGUUAAUCUUCUAAAGCCCAUGCAGCGGCCUCGCGCGUGGAGGGGGUGCGCGUGAGCGGAGUGUGUCCGUCUGUGGCAAUGGAGGUGUGUUUCGCUGGCGUGCUGUCUUUGGUUAGAGGGGUCGUGCACGUGUGCCCGCACUCUGGCAUCGAAGACAGCGCACGUGGAGCACCCACAUGCACACCCUCCCUCCCUCACACAUCUGGCCAUCCUCACCCGCCCUCUUUUCUACCCCUCCCCCCCCCUCUCCCCCUAACUAAAAGGAAAGCCUGCUUAUGCACGCAUGCACAUUUGUCCGUGUGUGCGCAGUGGGGUGGGGUGGGGUGGGUGUGGAGUCGGUGCAUGCGACUGUAUAUGUGAAUAGUGUCGAUGCAGGUGUGUGCGUGUGCAGGUGAUCAGUGAGGAAUUCGGGGCGUUGGACGGCAGACAGGCAGACAGACACGCAACAGCUAAAGGAUGCGACCCGCCCGCGGAACGGUGUGCAGUCAUCAUGGCACAUACGCACCGCUAGACGAGUGAACUGCAAAACAAACGCACAAGGAGACACACACACACACGCACACACAGCGAAAACUUCUAAAGCAAAGGAUGAGACAAAGAAAAAGCACGCGUGCGUGGAGGUGUGAUGGUGAUCGUGGGUCGCGUCGGUUGUGGUGGUAAGAGGAUCGAGGUGUUGAUGAGGUGGCGGCGAACACACACAUCCACAUAGCGAGAGAGGCGAGAAAGUGAGAGGAGAGCAGAGCGAGUGAGGUUGGGGAGGCGGGAUACGGAACCGUGCAUGAGUCCCAGAUCAAACCGCUGCUUCUUCCUCCUUCCCUCGCUCUCCCUGUCCCUUCCGCUCCUUUUCCUCUGUGCGCGUGUGUAUGUAG
rnacentral:misc_RNA from 1 species